ensembl:lncRNA
CCAGUCCCCCCAGGAAGGAGCUGGUGGAUCCCAGUCCCCCCAGGAAGGAGCUGGUGGAUCCCAGUCCCCCCAGGAAGGAGCUGGUGGAUCCCAGUCCCCCCAGGAAGGAGCUGGUGGAUCCCAGCCCCCCCAGGAAGGAGCUGGUGGAUCCCAGUCCCCCCAGGAAGGAGCUGGUGGAUCCCAGAUCUCCCCAUAGAGGAGUUGGUGGAUCCCAAAUCUCCCCAGGAAGGAGCUGGUGGAUCCCAACCUCUCCAAGAAGGACCCGGCGGAUCCCAGAUCUCCCCGUGGAGGAGCUGGUGGAUCCCAGUCCCUCCAGGAAGGAGCUGGUGGAUCCCAAAUCUCCCCAGGAAGGAGCAAGUGGAUCCCAAUCCUUCUAAGGAGUGGGUGGAUCCCAAACUUCUCCAAGAAGGAGUUGAUGGAUCCCAAACCUCUCCAGGAAGGAGCUGGUGGAUCCCAAAUCUCCCCAGGAAGGAGCUGGUGGAUUCCAGCCCCUCCAGGAAGGACCUAGUGGAUCCCAGUCCCCCCAGGAAGGAGCUGGUGGAUCCCAGUCCCUCCAGGAAGGAGCUGGUGGAUCCCAACCCCUUCAAGAAGGAGCUGGUGGAUCCCAAACCUCCCCAGGAAGGAGCUGGUGGAUCCCAGCCCCCCCAGGAAGGAGCCGGUGGAUCCCGAUCCCCCCAGGAAGAGGAAGGAGCUGCUGGAUCCCAAAGACAGCGUGGGCAGGAGGGCGGGACCCCCGGAAGCCCCCCCCGGACCCCGUGACGUUGACCCACGGCCAUCUCCCAGCCCCACAGCGCACCCUGAGCCAACGGAACCCGACACCGACAACAGCCCCGCAACACCCGGCGGCUACAGGAGCACGCUGCGCCCGCAGCCUGAAGCCCUGAGGGGGCUUGGAGGCCAGCGGGGCCGAUGGCAACGAGCAGAGCCCAAAUUUGGGGGGGGAGGAUGGGGGGGGGGGUGAGGUCCCAGCAGUGCCCCCUCUGGUGUGGGGGCAGCUCAGGCCCCUCCUUCCCUCUGUGGCCCUAUAGGAUCGCUGGGGUGUUGGGGAACCCCCAGCCUCCAGCACCCUAUAGGAUCUCUGGGGGACCCCAGCCUCCAGCACCCUAUAGGAUCUCUGGGGUGUUGGGGGAACCCCAACCUCCAGCACCCUAUAGGGUUUUUGGGGCGCUGGGGGAUCCCACCCUUCUCCCACCAUCUCUGGGCUCAGCUCUGCGGGGCCGGGGCUGCCGGGCUCAGUGCGGAGCGCGGACGGGACCCGGGGUUAAAGCAGAGAGGAGCGGAGCCGGGACGCGGGGCGGCUCAGCCGGGAGCAGCCGGGACGGAUGCGGCAACGUGGCCAAAUUCGGCACCGGCGCCGAGGGCAUCCGAGCCGGGGCUGCCCCCGGUAGAGCUGAGCCAGAAUCCCGUGUUAGUGAGACAGACACACGGACAGCGCGGCACGCGGAAAAGCGAUCCGGCGGCGGCAGGGACGGAGCCCCCACAAUUAAGGCACUGAGCGAGGAUUUUGGGGCGGGGGUCGCAUCUCUGAGCACGGGUUGGUUUGGGGAGG